AUCCACCGAUCUGCUAAUCUGGCCGUCGUCGUACCUAUCUGGUCCAAGCUGAACCAUUUCCUCUUCCAGGCUCAAACCCUCGUUCCCGAUCUGUACCUUCCAGAGGAAGAGGAAGAGGAAGAGGAAGGAAUAGGCGGACGAGAUGUCGCCGGCUGAAGAAGCGCAGCAGGAGGCCGCCGUCUUCGAGGACGACGACGAGGACUACUCCGAUAUGAGCGACGACAGCGAAGACGACGACGACAAUCAGGCGGCGCUGCCUCCUCCAACGCAGCUGCAGCCAGAACUGGCUUCGCCAGCCUGUGCAGAUCUGAACGCUUCGGCCUCCUCGCAGGAUGCCGCAAUCCCUAACCCUAACUCCGUUCACAAACUCAACAGUAUCCAGUCAGAUGCGGUAGUCGAUUAUCCCCAGAACGGCGUGAUCCCUGUCCAAGUCCUUCCUGCCUCUGCUCCUUCUAACGCUUCCUUUUUCACCCCCAUCCAUAUCCCACUCGCCACCGCCUCCGCCUCCGAUGAGCGGAGAUCCCUCGAUGUCGUUGCCUUAGAUGAUUCUCGGCGGCUGUUUCAGAGGCUCUGGACGGAUGAAGAGGCGAUCAAAAUCCUGCAAGGUUUCUUUGAAUUUACCUCGAGGCGCGGCACCACUUUUGCCUACCAUCAGUACGACACCAGCCCCUUCUACGAGGAGAUCAAGAAGCAGCUCCACUUCGACUUCACUAAGAACCAGCUGAUCGAGAAGCUCCGCCGCCUGAAGAAGAAGUAUCGGAACUGUGUCAGCCGGAUGCAGACAGGAGGAAGAAACUUCGCUUUUAGGAGCACACAUGAACGGGCCAUAUAUGACAUCGCUCGCAAGAUAUGGAGCGCAAGCACCAAGAGGAGUCAUGAGAGUGAUGACGAAGAUUUCGACACCACAAACCCUAUCUCCAACGAGAUCAUUACCAUUCCGAUCAACGACGGUUCUAUAAGUUCAGAAAGGAGGAAUUCCAGAUCAAGACGGCGCAUGAAAAAAAGAUUGAUGGAAGAUGCUGCAGCUGGUGUACCUGAUGCUACACCUUUAGCUUCUUCAGCUGGAGGAGUAGCUGUAGGCAAUUCCAACCAAUCCAUGCAUAAACCUUUAGCUUCUGGGAUACCAAACAUCAUCGAGGAGACUGUGAAGAAUUGCCUCUCGCCGCUCUUCAAGGAGCUCAUCAAUUCUGCUAUCAGGGAGCCGUUUGGUCCAGGGCUUGGUAGCGGGACAUCACUGCUGAACUUUCUGCCCCUGAACCUUGAGGGUGGUUCUUUGGCGACCCCAGACAUGCCUGUGAAUGGAAAAUGGAGAGCACAGCAGAUUCUAGAACUGGAGGUUUACCUGAAGCGGUUAGAGCUUGUGAAGGAUCACAUAAAGUUGACAUUGGAGGAGCUCAAGUCUGCAGGAAGCUGAUAUCUGAGUGCCUCAGCGGAAGAAGAAGAAGAAGAAGAAGAAAAUACAACAGGGAGCAAACACAUCAACUGCAGGAGGCAGAUUGGAUUGGAUGGGGUUCUUCGGCCUGGUUCUUGGAUCUCUUCUGGUGGCGCUCAUCCCCAUCCUUUGGAAGGCCCUGCUGCAUCUGAUAUGGAGACCAUACUCGAUCACCAAAUUGUUCAGGGAGCAAGGCGUGUGCGGCCCUGCAUACCAAUUUUGGACAGGAUCGUUGCAGGAGAUCAGGAGGCUGAGGAAGGCCGGAAGCGAAUUGAUAUUGGACAACAACUGCCAUGAUUACACUGUCAGAGUUUUCCCCCACUACCGCAACUGGACUCACCAGUAUGGUACAACAUUUUUGCUGUGGAUUGGAUCAAAUCCAAGGCUUUGCGUUGGGGACAUAGAGAUGGUGAAGCAAGUUUUGUCAAACAAGUUUGGUUUCUACCUCAAAACCGAGGCAUCUGCUGGUGUGUUGGCUCUGGUAGGCAAGGGAUUGGUGCUGGUGGAAGGGGAAGAUUGGGUGCGGCAUCGGAGGAUUUUAAACCCUGCUUUCGCCAUGGACAAACUCAAGCUAUUAACUAAAACAAUGGAUGAAUGUGCCAAAGCAACGAUAGAGGCAUGGCGAGAUGAAUCCAGUCGAGAAGACGAUCAGCAGCAAAUGGAAAUCGAUGUCUCCGUCCAGUUCCAAGAAUUGACAGCGGAUGUGAUCUCUCGGACAGCAUUUGGAAGCAGCUACAAAGAGGGAAAGGAAGUCUUUUUAGCACAGAAAAAGCUCCAAGUCCUCGUUGCAGAAUCAUUUUUCCACUGGAACUUCUAUGGAUCCAAGUAUUUAACUAAACACCAUCUUUUGCAACUGUGUGAUAAUGAAUCGCAAACUUGAUAAUUUCCUUUGCAGAUACUUUCCAACCAAGCAAAAUUUGCAGAUACGGAAGUUAGAAAAAAUCAUUAGAAGCACACUCAUGGGCAUCAUAAAAAAUAGAAUGAGUUCAACGGAGGAUUCUGGUUUCGGAAAUGACUUACUUGGGUUAAUGUUGGAAGCUAGACAGGUGGAAGCCGGCCGGAUGUUGAGUUUGGAUGAGAUCGUCGACGAGUGCAAAACCUUCUUCUUCGCGGGCCAGGAGACCACAUCGUACUUUUUAACUUGGGCGAUGUUCUUGUUGAGCACAAACAAAGAUUGGCAGGAGAAGCUCAGGGACGAGGUGCUUCAGCACUGCAGGAAGGAGACUCCAAAUGCCGACAUGCUGAGCAGAUUGAAGCCGAUGAACAUGGUUCUCCUGGAAACGUUGCGGCUCUACGGCCCAGUCAUUCUUAUGGGGAGAAAGGCCGAGAGAGCCAUGACUUUGGGGAGCAUAAACAUACCAAAGGACACUUCGUUGAUAAUUCCGAUAGCAUUAAUCCAGAGGAACAAGAAACUCUGGGGAGCCGAUGCCGAUGAGUUUAAUCCGCUCAGGUUCGCUAACGGCAUGUCGCAGGCUGCCACACAUCCCAACGCACUGCUUUCGUUCUCGAUCGGGCCUAGAGCGUGCAUUGGCCAGAACUUUGCGAUGCUGGAAGCGAAGGUGGUGCUUGCGAAGAUCCUGCAGCAGUUUUCAUUUUCUCUGUCACCCAAGUACAAGCACGCUCCCAUGGAUGUGCUAACGCUGCGGCCAAAAUACGGGCUUCCUGUUGUUCUAAGGCCAUUGCACGUCUGAUGAUGUUACUUUAACUUGUGUCGUAGUAGAUUGCAUCGAUAUAGAUGAACAUGGAUGUUUUAUUAGUGUGAAAUUAAAUUAUGUAUAUGAAUUGAAUGAAUGAUCGUGAAUGAACA